AUGGUGUCUGGCUCCGGUGUGUCCGCGCGUCGCGUGGUGGUGGAUGCGCGCCACCACAUGCUGGGUCGCCUUGCGUCGAUCGUGGCCAAGGAGCUGCUCAACGGGCAGCGCGUGGUGGUGGUCCGGUGCGAGGAGAUGUGCAUCUCCGGCGGGCUGGUCCGUCAGAAGAUGAAGUACCUCCGCUUCCUCCGCAAGCGGAUGAACACCAAGCCCUCGCACGGCCCCAUCCACUUCCGCGCUCCCUCGCGCAUUUUCUGGCGCACCGUGCGCGGCAUGAUCCCGCACAAGACGCCCCGCGGCGAGGCCGCACUCGCCAGGCUCAAGGCUUUCGAGGGCGUCCCGCCGCCUUACGAUCGCACCAAGCGUAUGGUCAUUCCCGACGCGCUAAAGGUUCUGAGGCUGCAGCCGGGGCACAGGUUCUGUCUGCUCGGCGAGCUUUCCAAGGAGGUCGGAUGGAACUACCAUGAAACUAUCAAGGAACUGGAGGAGAAGAGGAAGGAGAAGGCAAAGGUGUCGUAUGACAGGAGGAAGCAACUGGCCAAGCUGCGCUUCAAGGCUGAGAAGGCUGCCGAGGAGAAGCUGGGUUCUCAGUUGGAUAUCCUGGCACCAAUCAAAUACUAG
rnacentral:rRNA from 1 species